UGUAAUAACAUAGUACAUGGGAUUGAUUUGAGAAAAUUUGGCUUAAUAGUAUGGUGUUUCCAUUCAGAGAAAUUGUCAGUUUGUAAAUUCAGACCGUUUUGCUCUUGGAGAGCACACUGGACGUUCGGGCUGAGGAGUAGGGUUGAUUUGAGCGUUUUGACCUUGCAACGGCAGUCAAGCACCCAAGCUAAUGUUGGCUAGCUACUUCCAGACACAAAUGAGAACUAACCAUUUCUCACCCUAGCAGAGCUGGUAAGUAAGGCAGUUUUAGUGUUAACCAGAGCGUUGGUGACUGUAAAUGUCCUGCUGGAAACAAUUUAAAUUACGCUUUUUUCCCGACGUUUACUGACACAGGCCAUAUUCAACGGGUGUUGAGCGCUCGUAAAGUAUUUUUUCUGCGCUCUGGUACACUGAGUGCUCUGAAAUCCCGUGUAGAAAGUAGGCUUUUGUUGCGCGAUGGGUAACGAUGCUUCGACGGAGGCUGUUGUCCAUGUGUGCAGAGGGUCCCUGGUUCGGGCCCAGGUAGGGGCGAGGAGAGGGACGAAAGCAAAACUGUUACACGGAUACCAUUUUAAAAAUCAGGAGAAUCUCCUAUUUGUAAUUAUGUAAGUCUGGGCAGCGAGCUCGUUUGUCAUCGAUCGCUAGACCAGAAAUAGUCCGAAGUUUAUUUUUUUCCCUACUUUUUCAUUACGCAGACAUAAGCACAGUUGACACCAUCGAGGUGCGGAUGUUUACUUUCUACACAAGUUGUUUUUUUCCAGUUUCGUCCGAGGAACAGAUUGUAGUGGUAAAAUAAAAAGAUACAUUUUUAAUGGAAUUCUAAGCAGCAUUGUUCAGCUAUUAGCCCUCCUCCCCAACUUGAAACAAAUUGAUGUUCCCAUCGCAUUCCUUUCCCUCUUCCACACAUCAUUCUACUCCCGAGUGGCCCGCUUGUGAGCGUGUUGGCAGGAUAUGGCAGAAACUUCGGUUGUGCGUCAAGAAUUCUGCAUACAGUAGCAUGUUUGUAUGAAGGUGUGGUUAUUCACAGGCAAAUUGUUAUAUGCUAUGGAGGUACAUUUGUCGAGAGAAAAACCUUUAUUUUCAAUCAAAAAUAGUUGUUCUGAAAGGAGCAUUUUUCAGACACAAAGGAAGUCAAAGCGGACACCUACGAAGAUGGCAUCGCAGUUGUUUUCAUAUCUAUAAAAAAUAAGCUGUUUCCUUUACGUUCAGAGAGCAAGCUGACCAAGGGGUCGAAAAUGUAGAUAUUGCCAGAUGUUCACUGUCCGAGGAACAUGCCAUGGAAGCUGUAUUGCUGGCAAAAGUUUCCAUAACCAGAGGUUACAUCAGUUGUUUUGGUGAACCCCUUCCACAUCUGAAAUGGCUGCCACAGCAUGAUCAUAGGUAUGUUUUGAUGUGAGAGAGGAAGCCAGUCCCAUCACCACCUCACCAGUUCUUAAGAUAACCAGCUUUUGGCCGAAGGUUAGGAGACACCGCAAUUGUGACGAACUCUGAGAAUUUCAGGGUAGCACUAAUUCAUGAAUCAUAUGCCGUCUGCCACUAUUCUUUCCCCUGUCUUCUACACCUCUUUCUUCCACAUUUUAUAAUGCACACCAUACAGUCGUGGCCAAAAGUUGAGAAUGACAGAAAUAUUAAUUUUCAAAGUUUGCUGCUUCAGUGUCUUUAGAUAUUUUAUCAGAUGUUACUAUGGAAUACUGAAGUAAAAUUACAAGCAUUUCAUAGGUGUCAAAGCCUGUUAUUGACAAUUACAUGAACUUGAUGCAAAGAGUCAAUAUUUGCGGUGUUGGCCCUUUUUCAAUUAACUUCUGGGUCACAUCCUGACUGAUGGCAGCCCAUUCUUGCUUAGAGUUUGUGGGUUUUUCUUUGUCCACCCGCCUCUUGAGGAUUGACCACAAGUUCUCAAUGGGAUUACGGUCUGGGUAGUUUCAUGGCCAUGGACCCAACAUAUUGAUGUUUUGUUCCCCAAGCCACUUAGUUAUUGCUUUUGCCUUAUGGCAAGGUGCUCCAUCAUGCCGGAAAAGGCAUUGUUCGUCACCAAACUGUUCCUGGAUGGUUGGGAGAAGUUGCUCUCGGAGGAUGUGUUGGUACCAUUCUUUAUUCAUGGCUGUGUUCUUAGGCAAAAUUGUGAGUGAGCCCACUCCCUUGGCUGAGAAGCAGCCCCACACAUGAAUGGUCUCAGGAUGCUUCACUGUUGGCAUGACAAAGGGCUGAUAGUAGCACUCACCUUGUCUUUUCCAGACAAGCUUUUUUCCAGAUGCCCCUAUUAAAUCGGAAAGGGGAUUCAGAGAAAAUGACUUUACCCCAGUCCUCAGCAGUCCAAUCCCUGUACCUUUUGCAGAAUAUCAGUCUGUCCCUGAUGUUUUUCCUGGAGAGAAGUGGCUUCUUUGCUGCCCUUCUUGACACCAGGCCAUCCUCCAAAAGUCUUUGCCUCACUGUGCGUGCAGAUGCACUCACACCUGCCUGCUGCCAUUCCUGAGCAAGCAAUCAGCAUGACCGAGUGAUCUCCAACCUUGUCCUCAUCAACACUUACACCUGUGUUAACGAGAGAAUCACUGACAUGUCAGCUGGUCCUUUUGUGGCAGGGCUGAAAUGCAGUGGACAUUUUUGGGGGGGGAUUCAGUUCAUUUGCAUAGCAAAGAGGGACUUUGCAAUUAAUCUGAUCAUUCUUCAUAACAUUCUGGAGUGUAUGCAAAUUUCUAUCAUACAAACUGAGGCAGCAGACUGAAAAUUAAUAUUUGGGUCAUUCUUAACUUUUGGCCACGACUGUAUGUGCAUUGAAGUACAGAUUGAAAUUGUAUUUAUAAUAUUACAAUUAUCAUAAUUAUUAUGCAUUUAUAACAUCUGAAUAAUGGACUUCUUUUAAUAAAGCGUUUCACAUUCUCCACUGGUUGAAAUGAAGUAUUACAUCUAAAUACUAUCCUGUGUCCUCAGAUUAAUGCAGCUGA